GUCCUGUGGAACAUGUCCAGCUGCUGGCUGCAUUUGUGGCCAUCAAGAACAAGGCAGUAAACCUAACAGCAGUGGUGUGGCCCAUCCACUCCAGGACCCUCACCUACUUCUGGUGGCUGGGGAACAGCAGUGAAGUAAAUUGGAGAUUUGUCCUGGUGCAGACACAGAUCCUCUUUUGAUGUUAUGUAUAGUAUACAGUAUACUGUAUGUGGAUUACCAACUGUACAACAUUAGCAAAGGUAAACUGACACUAUUCAAAAGGGGUCUUGCCAUAUACUGUACAUGUACUGCAGUUGUGGCUGGUGUCACUGUAACUAAAUCAGAGGACAGGCUUAUUGUCAUGGCUGAAACAGAAACCAAUUGAACAGCAUCGAACACAUCAAAGACCUGGUUUUCAUUUUAGUUCCAUUCCAUUUCAGCCAUUAUUAUGAGCUGUCCUCCCUUCAGUAGCCUCCACUGAUGUAUAUAUGGGUUAUACAUGAUGUCUAUGGUAUUACAUACAUUGACCUCUUCUAUUAAUGAAGACGACUAUGAUUGAGGUGAAGCCGUCUCUGAUUUUGUAUUUUGUUCAGACAUCUUAUUUGUAUGUCAGGUUCUAAGUCUUAGGUUCAGGUUCUAGGUCUUAUAUCCAUCUGAAAUGGAUUUCUUUCAUGUUCUGGGGUUUUAGCUAAAGGUUUUAGGUGAAGGGAUUUGUGGCUUUUUGUAAUAUUUGUGUUGUGGAGAAAUGACCAGGCAGGAGACGGGAGUACAGUUAGUUUUUUGUUUAGUCAAAACCCCUCGUGCUCUACAGUUCCCGGCAUUCCAGUGGGCAUGUGCAUUUACUAUUAGGUGUAGUAACGUAACACUGCCGUAAUACAUUACUGCUUAGUAACAGCACAGUAACUAAUAUAAACAGAUGUAGAUCCCAGAUACUACACGGAUCAAUGUGUGAUCAUCAAUUUUGUCCAUGUUCCCUCUUCCUCCAGCCGGUGAUCAGCUUAGACGGGAGAAUCUCAUACACCUUCACCAGCGAGGGAAUGAACAAUGUUACGGUCCAAGUGUCUUCAGCCAACACCAUACUGCAAGACACCAAGACGAUAGCAGUCCAAGCACCCUUGGUGGAUUCCAUGCCGAGACACAGCACUUCAGCCAUGCUGAUGCUCCUAUCAGUACUAUUCCUGGGUUUAACAGUGUUUCUCAUCUACAAAUUCAAGAGGAAUGUACAGUACUGUAUGAUUAUGUCCUUGAACACUGUAUCGCAGCACUGCUCUAAUCACCUGUCAUCAUCAUUAAUAAAGCAUAUUAUAAUAAUAUGCUAGAUUGGUAGAGCCUGCAUCAAUCAACAAUGAACUAAUGCCGUUUCUUGUCAUUUGAAAUAAUUAACACAUUAACACAAUCAUAAAUAUAAAGGGGAAAGAUUUUUCUGAAAUUAUGCAAAAUGUAUAUGCGUUAGGAUUACAGUCUUAUGUCACUACUAGACAUUGAUGUCAUACGUGGAUUUAAUGAUGGAUAGAUGAAGAUGUUCUUAGAUAUCGAGAGGCUUCUUGAUAAUUAAUUUAGUCUUGUCAAAAUACCAACUCUGAACAAAAAGUGUAAUUUACGUAUUUGAGAAAUGCUGCCAAAGGGACAGAUCAUCUUUGAAUAGUCAUUCCCUAUUGUAACAACGCUGUUGUCGGUCUACAUUUACCAAUCUGCAGAAAAAUCCCCUGGAUUAACAUAUACGCGGAGGUGAACAAGGAGAAAGAGCAGGAGAUGAUCGGUUCACUCAACAAGAGUGUCAGCGUGCAUAAGAUCACCCUCAGUGAGUUCACUACGGCCAAAGAAGUAAUGGAGAAGGAGAUGGACACCAGGGUUAAACGUAAGAUACAUGGUCUGAUAAAACGUUGUUUAUUGUGUUAUUAGCAAGUUGCUGAUUCGGUGACGUUGAACUUCCUUGUUGAGAAAGAGCCCCUAAUAUUACACAUAUAUUGUCGAAGCUAAUUGUAUUGGACCUGAACACAUACAGUAUGUGUCAUAUCUCCAUGUAUAACAAUGUUGACUUUUG
ensembl:lncRNA